rnacentral:rRNA from 1 species
GCCCAAGGUAAGGAAUAACGUCGAGAAUCGGCGCUAAUACCUCAUAAUGCAGCGGAUCCGCAUGGAUAUGUUGUUAAAGGUUUACCGCCUUGGGAUAGGCUUGCGUCUGAUUAGCUAGUUGGUGUGGUAACGGCACACCAAGGCUACGAUCAGUAACUGGUCUGAGAGGAUGAUCAGUCACACUGGAACUGAGACACGGUCCAGACUCCUACGGGAGGCAGCAGUGAGGAAUAUUGGGCAAUGCUCGAAAGAGUGACCCAGCAACGCCGCGUGGAGGAUGAAGGUAUUCUAUAUCGUAAACUCCUGUGAGAGCAGACGAAAGACAGAUUAUUAAUCUGGAUGGCUGUAUGCUCAGAGGAAGCCCCGGCUAACUACGUG